UGGGAUUGUGGCUCAGUGGUAGAGUGCUUACCUUGCAUGUGUGAGAUACUAAGUUCAAACCUCAGCACAUAA
rnacentral:tRNA from 1 species